rnacentral:rRNA from 1 species
UCAAAUCAUCAUGCCCUUUAUGUCCUGGGCUACACACGUGCUACAAUGGGGUACACAGAGGGAAGCGAUGUAGUGAUGCGGAGCGGAUCCCAGAAAGUGCCUCUCAGUUCGGAUUGUAGUCUGCAACCCGACUACAUGAAGCCGGAAUCGCUAGUAAUCGCGGAUCAGCCAAGCCGCGGUCGAAUACGUUCCCGGGCCUU